GAGGUGGAAGAAGAAGAAAAAACAAA
rnacentral:sRNA from 1 species